rnacentral:lncRNA from 1 species
AGAAACAAAAUAACUUCCCCAAAGACCUGAGGUCACGAGUUUUAGAGCCUCUAAAAAUACUGAAUACAUGUCAGAAUGAGGGAAAUACAAGUGUCAGAAUAACUAGAAAAUAAUUAGAAGAUCAGAGACAUGGGUCCUGCGGACGCUGGCAGCUACACCAAUACUCUGUCAAACAAAUAAUCAGCAACCGCACGCGCAAAAUCUUCUGGAGUACCUGAAUCUGCACACAAGGUGCAUGGAGUAGGAGGUUAGUCUACCAACUCAGCGAGUAAUAAUAGUAAAUAAAGCUCUGAAAUCAAGAAAACCCAAUAACUACACAAAGUAAGCUAAAAUAGUAUAUAACAGUAUCUGCAAUUCAACAACUGAACAACAGUAUAUAUAUGUGAUGCAAAUACAGGGAUGCGAUGCAAUGCAUAUGAUGAUAAAAUCCAGUACCCACUGCGGCGUGCAGCCCGAGCCACCAAUAUCAUUUAUCGUCGACAGCGCUCACUGCCCAAGCACAAUAACAAGCCAUCUCGUGGCGAAAAUCAAUAACCAGGCAAGUCCAUGUUACCUGAGCGCUCAUAUCACACAGUGUCUAUGUUACCACUGUUUCUAAUCACCGCUGCGACGCACAGCCCGAGCCACCCAAAAUCAGUCUAGAAAAUAUAUCAUAAGCCCUUGGGCAGUUAUAAACAAUGAUCCUCAGCCGAAAUAUAUUUAAAAGAUAGCAUAUGAGUUUUGAACAUUUGAAAUACGGUUGGGUUUUUAAAACAAUGUUUUAAAAACCAUGGACUUAUAGUAAAUGAUAUGCAAUCAUGCUAAAACAGUAAUACCAACUCCUGAAGGAUAUCACAGGUUGGCACUAAGCCCCAAACACGGCAUAAAGCCCAAUAAUAGUCAUCACAGUGUGUGUAUCAUACGCCAAUAUAAUAUAAUUCUCACACGGGAUGGACCACGUCACAAUUCCUCAACAGUAUCCGACCCUGCACUUAUCAUGGAGUGUGUGUCACGCCUCAACAUACCGUUACGAUGUGAAAGUCCGGGGUUUCAAACCCUCAAAACAACAUUUACUAGCAUUACUCACCUCGAACCAAUGAAAUCUCAAGCUCGCGACGCCUUUGCCUCUCCAUUCGGCCUCAUCGCGCGUCGAAUCUAAGUAAAAACAGAGAGAAUACAUCACAAAAAUUCCUAUGGGACAAUAUCCAAUCAAAAACUGGCAUACUCGCGCAUCGAAUAUAAACAAAACAGAGCAAAUACAUCACAAAAUACCUAUGGGACAAUACCCAAUCGAAAAUAACCGAGAAAUAGCCAAAAUCUCGAAACUAGCAAAACUCGAGCUCUGAGCCCGCUUCUCGAAAAAUUACGAAACUUACAUUUUUGGAAUCCUCGUCUCUCCACGAGUCCGUACAUAUAAAGUUCAUCAAAAUCGGAGUCCAAUUGAUCCUCCAAAUCCCAAAUCUUCAUUUGGAAUACCAAGCCCUAGUUCUUCAAUAUUUACACCCAAAUUUAAGAAAAUUUAUGGUUGAAUCUUCAAUAAAAUGAUGUAAUAAGACCACGAGACUUGCCUCCAAUCACUUACCAGUGAAAUCCCCUUCAAAAACCGUCAAUGAGCUCUCAAGGUGUUAAAAAUGGAGGAAAUAAUGAGGAGCUCGCGGAUGAAAUAUUAUUAAAAAGCCCUCAGCUCAGCUCUACUUUCCUCUAUGCGAUCACGACUUUCCUCCUGCGACCGCAUGGAACAACAUUUCCAGGCCUCCCCAAUGACCUAUGCGAACGCGACCUAAACCCUGUGACAACUACUUCAAUGAAAUACUAUUAAAAAGCCCUCUGCCCAACUCUACUUUCCUCUAUGCGAUCACGACUUUCCUCCUGCGAUCGCAUAGAACAACAUUUCCAGGCCUCCCAAAUGGCCUAUGCAAACGCGGCCUCAACCCUGCGACCGCACUGCUUCAUCAGCUGAACCUACGCGAACGCAUUCCCAGCUCUGCGAUCCCAGAGCACCAAGACCUUAGCCUACGCGAUCGCAUCCCCCUGAACGAGACUGCAUUGAACAAAUUUUGGGACCGCAGGCCAGCCUUCUAUGCGAUCGCAACGCCAUUCAUGCAAUCGGAUAGAGCAAUCCGUCUGCAACACCUGAAAGCUCAAUUUCUGCAACACUUUUCAACUUCAAAAUUGUCCGACAACCAUCUGAAAUCACCCCGAGGCCCCUGGGACCUCAACCAAAAACACAAACAUGCCCUAAUACCUCAUUGAAAAUCGCCCGGACUAUAAAAACGCUAUAUUUAACAUCAAAAAUCACCAAAAUUAUUGAAUUUCAUUCUAAGUUAAACUUAAACUUUCCAAACUCAUAUCCAAUGUCGAAACCAACCAAACGAGGUCCGAAUGACCUGAAUAUUUGCACACAUAAUCAACUUUGCUUAAGGAAGCUAAUGCAACUCUCGGAAUUCCAUUAUGACCCUUGGAUCAAAUUUUCACCUAUCAACCAGAUUUCUCCGAAAUUCUAACUUCUUUCACACAUAUUCGAAUUCGCCUAACGAAACUAAUGCAACUCUCGGAAUCCCAUUCUGACCCCCAUAUCAAAUUCUCACCUAUAAACCGGAUUUCUCCGAAAUUCCAACUUCGCCAAAAUAGGCUAACUUUCACACCGGACCCCCGAAUUCACUUCGUUUUCACUCCUAUGUCACAAAUCAUCUCCCAAAACUAGUCAAACCAUCGGAAAUCCGUUCCGAGCCCUCUAACUCAUAAGUCAACAUCCGAUUGACUCUUCCAACUUAAGCUUUCCUUAAAGAGACUAUUUGUCUCAUUUAUAUCCAAUUUCAAUACAAACCACUUCAAACUCACCAGACACAUAUAGUAACGCACGGGGAAACAUAUAACAGGAAAAACGAGGCUGAAAUACAAGAUACGACGGGCCGGGUCAUCACAUUUUAUUAUAAAUUGUAUUCGAAAAAAAUAUUUAAAAAGUAAUAUUUUUUAAAAGGUAAAAAAUAUUUUAUUUUAAGAAAAAAUGUCAUAUAGAAAAAGAAUAUAAUAGAUGAAUAUACCUAUGCUUUUGUCACACCAAUAUCUAGGAGGUAAUAAUUGUCGGAAUAAUUAAUGGAAGCUGGGAACGAACUUUAAAGAAAGAAUUUAGUUGAAAGAAUAAAUCACAUACAUGAAGGAAGUUGGAGAAAAUGCAAAUAUCUUCCAUAUAUUCCUUGGAAACACCCCUGGAUUACAACGUCCUUAUUCUGACAACCCAACUUGCUAUUUUCACUUUU